rnacentral:rRNA from 16 species
CCCGCUGAGUUUAAGCAUAUAAAUAAGCGAAGGAGAAGAAACUUACAAGGAUUCCCGUAGUAACGGCGAGCGAACCGGGAACAAUCCAGCUUGAGAAUCGGGCGGCUGUGCCGUCCGAAUUGUAGUUUGGAGAGGCGUCCUCAGCGACGGACCGGGCCCAAGUCCCCUGGAAAGGGGCGCCUCGGAGGGUGAGAGCGCCAUCCGUCCCGGACCCCGUCGCCUCACGAGGCGCCAUCAACGAGUCGUACGGCGGAUGUAUUGCAAAAAACUAGGCGCGCACCAUGGAAAACAGGGGAAAACC